CUGAGAUCAACCAGCAGGUCGCAGAGCACGGCACAGACACCACCACAAACGCCAGAUGAUGGCGCUCUUGCAAGGGCUCUCAUACCAGAAUGUACCAUAUCAGACGAACGUGGGUCACAGCUUAAAGAAUGGUUGAGAAAUAAUUCUCAGCCCCUCAGCCAGAUAGAGAACUACAUGACAACACAGCAGUCUACAGGGCCAAGUGGAUUAGGGACAACAAUUGGACCAUCGAUCAGAUCCUCGAAGAGUUCCCUCACCUAAUGACCAAAGGCAUGAUUGCACAGGCUUGUCCUACAUGGGGAUGCUGCAUCAAAGUUGUUUGAAACUUUGUCACGUGAAAUGCCAGGAGGGGAGUCUAAAAUGGUAAAGUUUAUUCAAAGUAGAAUACUUGCUUGCAAGUAGAGCUAAUGGCUCUUAAUAGCAGCUUUUUAAUAGGAAUUUGAAUUUGUUCACUAUAGACCUGUUGAAUGUUCAGCCAGUUCAUUCGUAAUUGUUGUUUUGCUCUGAA